CCGGAACCCGGCGCCGGAGCUCGCGUUUCCGGGCGGUGGGACCCGAGCGCCGCACCGAGCGCGCCGGAGCCGCGAGGGCGGACUUGGUCACCAUGGCGACGCGGCGGGACGGAGGCCGGUCCCCACGGGCGUGCGCGGAAAGGACCAAUCAGUGAUGGAUUAGAAAUAGAAGAGCCAAGGAACCUGCUCCUGAGUGCUGAAUCUCCAGGAGCCGGGGCCUGCGGCAGGAGCGGAGUGUGGGACAGGAGGGGUGUUGGCCCUCAGAGGCUGGGGGACUCCAGCACUUGCUCAGCUCCUUGGCUGCCUCGUUUUCUCAUCUGCAAAGUGGGAGAGCGCUUCGUGAGCCUGUUUUAAAGGACCCAGCCCUUGUAGCUUUCUGGAUGCUGCCGCCGCCGUCGCCUUCGGAGGCGGCCCUGAGCCAGCUGCUGGCCCGCAAGGAGGAGGAGUGGAGGGCGCUGCAGGCCCACCGCUGCCAGCUGCAGGAGGCCGCUCUGCAGGCCGCGCACAGCCAGCUGCAGGAGGCGCAGGGGGCGCUGCGGUGCCUGCAGGAGGACUUCGCGUACAACCUGCAGGUGCUGGAGGAGCGGGACCUCGAGCUGGAGCGCUACGAUGCCGCGUUCGCCGAGGCCCGUGGGCGGGAGGAGGCGCGGCAGGCGGAGCUGAGUGAGCUGAGGGUGCAGGUGGCCCGGCUGAGGCAGGCGCUCGCCGGUGAGGCCCAGCGGCGGGAGGACCUGCAGCAGCAGCUCCAGCUGAAGCUGCAGGAGCACCGGCUGGAGCUGGAGCGCAUCCACAGUGACAAGAACAGCGAGAUGGAUCAGCAGCGGGAACAGUACGAAAACCUGAAGUGGCAGCUGCAGAGGAAGCUGGAGGAGCUCGAGGGCGAACUUGCUCUGCAGAGGCAGGAGCUGCAGCUGGAAUUCGAGUCUGAAAUGCAGAAGAGGGAGCACGGGUUCCGCCUGCAGGCUGACGGCAUGAGCAACGCGGUGCUGACUCAGGAGCUCAAGGUGAAACUGCUGAACAAGGAGCUCGGGGCCCUGAAGGAAGCUGCCGCCCAGGCCGCAGAGUCGCUGCGGGGUGCUGAGGCCGCCAAUGCGGGGCUGGAGGAGCAGCUGCAGCACAGCCACCAGGAGCUCAGGGACCUGGCCGCCUCCAAGGACGCCCGGAUAAAGGACUUGGAGGGCAAACUUAACUCUGUGCAGCUCUCCAGGAAGAAGGAAGAAGAGGUCUUCAGGAGGAAGCACGAGGAGCUCGACCACCUGGCCCGGGAGAGGGACGUGGCACUGGUGGCUGUGAAGGAGGCCCACGCGGAGCAGCUGCGGGCGCUGGAGGCCCGGGCCCUGGAGCUGCAGGCCCGCUGCGAGACCCUGGAGCUGCAGCUCCGCAGGGCAGAGUGGAGGCGGGCCGACGCCCUGAAGGAGAAGGAUGCCGCCGUGGACCAACUUCGGGAAGAUGCAUCGACUCUGAGGUCGGGCUGGGAUGCCCAGGUUGCUCAGCUGUCCAAGGACAUAAUCUCCAGGGACCUUCAGAUUCAGUCUCUGCAGGAGGAAGCAGGGGAGCUCAAGGCACAUCUGGCCCGGUGCCAGCAGGACGUCGGAAGGUACAAACAGCAGCUGUCGGCGGCAGCAGACAGGGAGCGGUGCCUGGAGCGUGAGCGGGCGCAGCUGGAGCUGGACUGGCGGCAGCGCUGUGACAGCGUGGAGAGGGACCACUACCGCAAGUCCGAGGACCUGAUCCAGGCCCUGACCGAGGCGCGAGAUCAGGCUGCUGCCAAGCUGCAGGAGACCGAGCGGACGCUGCGUGACCAGGAGGUGGUGCUGCAGGCCUUGAGCCUGGAGAGGGACUGGGCCGUGGAGGCGCUGAGGACACGCGGGCUCCUCCCCGACAAGGAGGUGCAGGUGCUCCUAAGGCAUCGUGAAGAAGAAACCAAGGAAAGUUUUCCGUCCUAUGAGAUCCAGAGGCUCCAGGAGCAAAACACAAGCUUACGAAGGGCUGUUUCAGAGAUGAGGAAAGAAAUGGAGACUCUGAGUGAGCAUGUUCUUCCUCCUGCCCCGUCAGGGGGUCAGGCCGGCGGCCCAGAAGAGCCCCGGCCACAUCCAGAGGCAGCUGCGAAGGCUCCUGAUCACGUUAUGGUCCUUGAAACGGAAAUACGAAAUCUAAAGGAUAAACUUAAAACCCUGGAGGAACAAAUAGAAGAUGUCUUAGAUCCUGCAAAGAGGUCCUCAUCUUACGCUGACGUUCAGCCCAGUGUCCACUGCCCGGCUGAGGCCCCCGGAGGAGCCAUGUCAGCUGGUCAUGCACCUGUGGGGCAGGCGCUCAGGAGGCUCAGAGACAGGACGCAUCUCACCACCGUCCUGGUGGCCCGGCUCAAGCAGAAGGUGCUGCAGAGACCCCUGGACCCAGACAUCAUCCAGCACGAGCUUUCCCGUGAUGUGGACCAGGUGCACCUGGAGGUUUUAGAGCUGCAGAAGCAGAUGGCUGAGCUUGAGGAGCAUCUUGGGGGCAGACAGCAGUCGGGAGCCCCAGACAAGGCUGUCCUCGGUGGGGAGGCCUGCAGUAACGACUGUACCUGAUGUCACAGCUCACCGCCCUGAGCUCUUUGGCAGAAGCAGUGUAGAAGUCAGAGGUUGUUCCAAGGGCAGGAGGGAGACGGCUUCAGGACAACUGCCAGCGCCGAAGGACCAGAGGAGAGGGUGGGUCCACUCCUCUCUGGCUCAGGAACACCAGGGGGACCCAGCCAGGCCUUGGGACAGACGGACGGGGGAGGCACGGCUGCAGGGGAGGCUCCCGAGUAGAAGCUGCCUGGAGAGCCCAAGCCCCGGCCCCUCGCCGGGCCUCCCGCUGUCCUGCAGCUCGAGGACACCGUCCUGGCCACAGAGGCAGGAGAGCAGCACGUCUGCCUGAACCCCGUGUCCGCAGUUGGUUCCAGGGGCUGCCCACACUCGGGCCCAAGGUCAGCAGCACCAGAGCAGCCCCCAAGGUUCACAGCCUGGUUCACGGACUCUGCUGCUUAGACGGGAAGAAUUGUGGGCCUCAGCAGGAUUUAAAAUCAGGAUGUUUAAUGCUGUGGCUGACUGGCUGGAGCUAAACUGACUAUGACCUUAGGGAGAAAUAGAGGCUCAGGAAACCCAGGGGGUGCUCCCUGUGCCCAGGCCAGGUCCCCCCAGGACGGCAGCAUCUUGGGGGCCCAGAAGCCUCCAGCGCCAAGAACCUGGUUUUGGAAUUUCUCACUCUGCUGAGAGGAAGCAGGCCCAGGCCGGGGGGCGGGGGUGGGGAGAUCCACCAUGGCACCUGGAGACGGGACAGGACGCAGCUGCCAACGGCCCCGGCGCUGGCUGCGGAGAGAAGCACAAGCUGGAGCCUCGAGGCAUAAAUGAGCAGCUUGUCUCCAACUUCUGCCCGCGGUCCCGGAAGAAAUUCCUAUGGUGAGGGGGGCUCUUGGCAUCCUGUCCUCGCGGCAGCCCGUGCGGCACUCUGGGCACCUGGCCUGGCGCCCAGGGUCCCCCACCCUCCUGCCCACCACUCCUCCCAGUCCUGAAACCCCUGCGGCCCUGAGCCCGGCGGCAGGGACGCCCUGGGAUCACUGGGGGGCGGUGUCCACCAGUCCUGCCUGCGCCCCGGGUCGUGCAGAGGAUUGGAAUCCCUCUCGUCCCCCAGACCCCUGGGGCCCAGCCGGCGCCCCUCCGAGCCCCUCCGUGCCGACCUGGGCUUGCUCCGACGUCAGCCUCUGCGGAGCGCAGUCGCCGCUGCCCUUGGGAACAGAGUCCUCCCUGGUGAGGACACCUCAGCCGGCCAGACCCUCACUGCGCUGCGCCAACCUGCGCCUGCCUGGCCAGGACACGGGAGCAGCCCCCAAACAGGCGCGGGCGGAUGGGGCCAGCACGGGGGACCGCGUGGGCCCUGAAGCGUGCGGCAGUUUUAAGUCCUGGAACGUGUCAUUGGAGCCACUUUCCUCUUAAGUAUCUUGAGCGUCACUUUGCAAAGGUUCCUUUCGGGGUUGCUCACUGAAAAUGGUACAGGAGACUCCAGCGUCAUGCUCCUGUGGAGGCCGGGCCUCCAUCCUCCCUCCCUCGAGGUCUGUCCCACCCUACAGGCCUGAGGACCCCAGUCAUUCCUGGCCUUUGGAGACUCAGGUGAGGCCGGUCCCCGUGCGGUUGGUAGUGGGCCCACGUCUAUCAGGGGGAAGGGUCUGGAUUGGGUGUUGGGCUGUGGUGCCGCAGGGCCGCCUCCCCCUCCUCCCUGCUGCCCCCCUGCCCCGCCUCCUGCCCACCCAGCCCGCGGCACACGCUGGAGGUGCCGUGCGUGGUGGUCACGGCUCUAGGCACCUGAAGAAUAGGGGCCCCGGAGUGCACAGGUGCCUGCCAGCCCUGGAAGGGUGCACCAGGAAAUUGGGGCCAGGACAGAACGUGCCAGUCUGUCCCAGGGACUCCAGGCCGGUUUCUGUCCUGGCUCUGGCCCACGCAGUCAGCACAGGGCACAGUGUAGCUUUUCACGGUGUCAGGAGCGGCCGUGCCUAAGUAGGCCACCUGCCUCCCUCGGGGCUUGGACGCCGUUUCCUCCAGGCCUCUGUCUGGCACACAGUCCACACGCACACUUGUCUUUUCCUCUCUCUCAUUCUCUGACCCCGUCGUUCUGCACACCCUCCAAGUGUGACCGUGUGUCUGUGCCCUGUGGUGACCUAGCACGGUGACCCCACAACACGUGGUGCAGGAAGAGUUGAGGAAGGCUGGCGCCUGCCACACACCCUCCAUCAGGCCUCUGCCCGCCCCUCCACACCAGGUCCCUGCAGACCAAGGACCCCCGAGGACAGAGGACUUGUCUGUGCCCCGACUCCAGCGGAGACUAAAGGAGGCGACCCGAAAAAUCCUCCGCCUCUGCGAAGAGAAGGAGCAGCUCCUGGAGAUGGGGAACAGGCUCCGUG